rnacentral:rRNA from 1 species
UACAGAGGGGGCAAGCGUUAUUCGGAAUUAUUGGGCGUAAAGGGCGCGUAGGCGGCCUGGCAAGUGGAAGGUGAAAUCCCUCGGCUUAACCGAGGAACUGCCUUCCAAACUGCUUGGCUUGAGUCCGGGAGAGGUGAGUGGAAUUCCCAGUGUAGCGGUGAAAUGCGUAGAUAUUGGGAAGAACACCGAUGGCGAAGGCAGCCAUCUGGACCGACACUGACGCUGAGGCGCGAAAGCGUGGGGAGCAAACAGG